CCAGACUCCUACGGGAGGCAGCAGUGGGGAAUAUUGCACAAUGGGCGGAAGCCUGAUGCAGCAACGCCGCGUGCGGGAUGACGGCCUUCGGGUUGUAAACCGCUUUCGCCUGUGACGAAGCGUGAGUGACGGUAAUGGGUAAAGAAGCACCGGCUAACUACGUGCCAGCAGCCGCGGUGAUACGUAGGGUGCGAGCGUUGUCCGGAUUUAUUGGGCGUAAAGGGCUCGUAGGUGGUUGAUCGCGUCGGAAGUGUAAUCUUGGGGCUUAACCCUGAGCGUGCUUUCGAUACGGGUUGACUUGAGGAAGGUAGGGGAGAAUGGAAUUCCUGGUGGAGCGGUGGAAUGCGCAGAUAUCAGGAGGAACACCAGUGGCGAAGGCGGUUCUCUGGGCCUUUCCUGACGCUGAGGAGCGAAAGCGUGGGGAGCGAACAGGCUUAGAUACCCUGGUAGUCCACGCUGUAAACGGUGGGUACUAGGUGUGGGGUCCAUUCCACGGGUUCCGUGCCGUAGCUAACGCUUUAAGUACCCCGCCUGGGGAGUACGGCCGCAAGGCUAAAACUCAAAGGAAUUGA
rnacentral:rRNA from 1 species